ACCCGCACAAGCGGUGGAUGAUGUGGUUUAAUUCGAUGCAACGCGAAAAACCUUACCCACCUUUGACACGUACGGAAUUCGCCAGAGGUGGCCUAGUGCUCGAAAGAGAACCGUAACACAGGUGCUGCAUGGCUGUCGUCAGCUCGUGUCGUGAGAUGUUGGGUUAAGUCCCGCAACGAGCGCAACCCUUGUCAUUAGUUGCUACAUUCAGUUGGGCACUCUAAUGAGACUGCCGGUGACAAACCGGAGGAAGGUGGGGAUGACGUCAAGUCCUCAUGGCCCUUAUAGGUGGGGCUACACACGUCAUACAAUGGCUGGUACAAAGGGUUGCCAACCCGCGAGGGGGAGCUAAUCCCAUAAAACCAGUCGUAGUCCGGAUCGCAGUCUGCAACUCGACUGCGUGAAGUCGGAAUCGCUAGUAAUCGUGGAUCAGAAUGUCACGGCGAAUACGUUCCCGGGUCUUGUACACACCGCCCGUCACACCAUGGGAGCGGGUUCUGCCAGAAGUAGUUA
rnacentral:rRNA from 1 species